UAAAUAAAUAAUUGGAUGGAUGGAUUUCCCAAAUCUAAAUACAUUGAAGUUAUAAGUGGUAAGCUCUUGGCUGUGGGGGAAGCAGGGAGUUUGUGGGUAGUGCCAGCUGGGCAGGCAGGGGCUGUGGUGGGGCACAGGGCCCUCUCUGACCCCACACCUCUCUCUUCCCUUGCAGGCCAGCCCGAGGUUGCUCCCACCCUCUACGUCUUCCCGUUGCCCUCCGAGCAGAUCUUGAAGGAGAACAAACUCAUGCUGGUGUGUAUGUUAGAUGGCUUCUACCCCGGCCAUGUGGAUGUGGAAUGGUGGGCUGACGGCAUCAUCCUCACAAGCAACGUGGAGACCAGUCAACCCGUGCGGCAGAGCAACGGCAAGUACAUGGCCAGCAGCUACCUGUCAUUGGACACCAGCCAGUGGCAAAGGUACGACGUAUUCUCCUGCAAGGCCAAGCACGAGGCUGGCAAUGUGGAGAAGACCAUGAACAGAUCCUAGUGCCCCUAAGCUCACUGGGACCUCCUCGCACCCACCAGCCCUUUGCUGGCUCCCUCCCUCCUCCCCACUUCUGGGGACAGCGGCUCCCCACAGCCGCACACCUCGCUCCCCACGUCCCCCUGUCCCCUGCUCCUGUCCCCCCACUCUGAGUGUCAGACAAAUAAAAACAGACACUGAACUAGUGCUGGCUCAGCA